rnacentral:misc_RNA from 1 species
GAGUUUUGUAAUACAAAUAUAAUUUUUUAUUGAUGAAUAAUUUUUAGUAAAUGAAAAAUUUGUAAAUGAAAUUACCUCAUACCUUAUACCAAUAGAUGAUUAAAUCCUUGCAUUUUGAUGCUCAAAACAUGGCAAAGAUGGUCUGGAAGAUGUCUUAGACCUCAAAGAUUAAAAAUAUUAUUCAGUGAUAAAAGAACAUUUUGAUAUCAAUCUCUAAAUCUCAUGAUACAUGUUAUGAGAAUAACUACAACAAUUAUUGUACAUGAAAGCAACAGAAGACAUUAUCAAAUAUAAAAUGUAUUAGAUGCCAUUAUUUACUAUUUUCAUAUAACUUUUCUCUAUAAUUUUUGCUACCAUCCGGUAAUUAAAUUACACAAUAACUUCUACUGAAUCGUAUAAAUGGACUAGGGAAUCUUUCAUCCAAGAAAACUUAACACAUUGCGUGCAAUAUACAUAUAAUGGAAUUGUGCUUAAAUGCUUAAUGAGGAAAUCGAUUUUCACUGGCCCCUAUUCCAUAAACACUUCCGUAAGACAGUUUGUUAUUUUCACUUGGUAUCUUCUAACUUGGAAGAAACAUUCGAUGAAAUGGGUAUGCUCAAUAUAGACAUUCGUCAAGUACUUUAUAUUCUGGAACUGACAGGAACGUUUACGUGCACUUGGCCAAUUAAUCCGAAUGACAGUAAAAAAUAUAUCAUUAUUCGUAACAUCUUGUGGACAUUCACGAUACUGAACGUGAUUUUUUUAAUAAUAUCGUUGAUGCUUGCUAUUUUUCACUUUCGAAGUGAUAUACCUAAAUCGAUGAAAACUGCCUCCGAGAUGACUGCUUUGCUCGAAGUCGUUUUGGAUUUGGUUCUCUGCAAAUGGAACAACACUGAAUUGCAGGUUUUGAUAGAAGAAGUCAGGUCGUUCUUGGAGAUAGCCAACGAAUACGAAAUUAAAAUACUACAGGGAUAUAUAAAUCGUUACAAAAAAUUCUUCUCGACUGUUUCGAUGGGAUACAUCUUACCUGCGAGCUCGUUCAUUUUGAUGCCUUUGUUCUCAGCCCAAGAAUUACCCGCAGAGGGAUGGCUUCCAUUCUCCAUCGAACCACUUGGAAUAUACUGCGUAGUCUAUGUCAAUCAUAUUUAUUGCAUUUUACAAACGUCAUUUUGCAUUUUUGUAGAUUUCACGAUUGUCAUCCUCUUUAGUUUUCCCGCUGCCAAAUUAGACGUAUUACGGUCAAAAUUGCGGCAUGUGAAUAAUUACGACAUGUUGGUCAGCUGUAUCAAGGAACAUCAAAAAAUAUUAGGAAUCAAUCAUUGGGCGUGGUCACUCAGUUCCUUCCUCUGGUAUUGUCAGGCAUGUUGCACUUGUUCGUCAUCGCCUGGCCGGCAGACGAUUUAAGAGAAAGUGUAAGCCAGCCACUAAUAAAAAUUCGAUAGAACGUCAUCUCAUCUGAGUAUACAAUUCGCAGAAUCGAUCAAUGAUAUUCAAUGGUUAGGCCAACCAAGAAAAAUGAAAAGUUGCGUGAUUUUCAUGAUGAUAAGAAGUCAAAAAACAUUUCUCAUUCGAAUGAGUAGUUUGUUGCCACCUC